rnacentral:rRNA from 1 species
UACGUAGGUGGCAAGCGUUGUCCGGAAUUAUUGGGCGUAAAGCGCGCGCAGGCGGUUCUUUAAGUCUGAUGUGAAAGCCCACGGCUCAACCGUGGAGGGUCAUUGGAAACUGGAGAACUUGAGUACAGAAGAGGAAAGUGGAAUUCCACGUGUAGCGGUGAAAUGCGUAGAGAUGUGGAGGAACACCAGUGGCGAAGGCGACUUUCUGGUCUGAUAACUGACGCUGAGGCGCGAAAGCGUGGGGAGCAAACAGG